rnacentral:rRNA from 1 species
GAUGAACGCUGGCGGCGUGCCUAAUACAUGCAAGUCGAGCGAAUGGAUUAAGAGCUUGCUCUUAUGAAGUUAGCGGCGGACGGGUGAGUAACACGUGGGUAACCUGCCCAUAAGACUGGGAUAACUCCGGGAAACCGGGGCUGAUACCGGAUAACAUUUUGAACCGCCUGGUUCGAAAUUGAAAGGCGGCUUCGGCUGUCACUUAUGGAUGGACCCGCGUCGCAUUAGCUAGUUGGUGAGGUAACGGCUCACCAAGGCAACGAUGCGUAGCCGACCUGAGAGGGUGAUCGGCCACACUGGGACUGAGACACGGCCCAGACUCCUACGGGAGGCAGCAGUAGGGAAUCUUCCGCAAUGGACGAAAGUCUGACGGAGCAACGCCGCGUGAGUGAUGAAGGCUUUCGGGUCGUAAAACUCUGUUGUUAGGGAAGAACAAGUGCUAGUUGAAUAAGCUGGCACCUUGACGGUACCUAACCAGAAAGCCACGGCUAACUACGUGCCAGCAGCCGCCGUAA